rnacentral:lncRNA from 1 species
CAUGUGCUCUUCACCUUUUUUUGCCUUUUUGUAUUUAUUCUUUUCUCUUCAUAACAGACAUGAGGCAAGAAGCAAUGUCCAGCAGAUAUACUGUGCAUCCUUCAUGGUCUGCUCAGGACAGCUUCCUCAGACAAGUGACACCAGUGCUACUUCCAGUUCUAUCCCUGUUUUCAUGCCUUUGUCCCAGCCUUAUGUGACAAAUUGCUGCAUAAAGUUACAGUGCUACAUGAAGAGAACAACCACCCUAAUGGUACUGCAAGCUGAGAGACAUUAUAUGCCAGGGAGAAGAGGUAAAGAAAACAAAGGUCAGUGGUGUUUCAUUAAGUCUGAAAGCAAAGAAAUGUACAUAAAAGGUGUCUUUAUCUAAUGCUUUGCAUUCAGACACUUUCUGAGAUCAUCUGUCCAAAGUCUCCUGUUACAAGCAGAGGAAGGACAAACUUCCUUGUCCCUCAGGGGUGCUCAGAGCAUACUGAUUGUAAG